CUCCCAAUGCCGCUUUCAACUGAGAACAAUGGAAAACGGGAUGUAUACGAGAAGCUGGGGGUAGAUCCAACUUGUAUGCUGCUUUCCCCACACGAGCAAUCACACGGUAAGGACCGAAAUACUUAGCAGCCAGCUUUUGACACACUCGGUGAGAAACAGACUGCUGCCUAUAUGGCUUGAACUUCAAAUACACCAGCGUUCCCACAUCAAAUGAAACAUCCCUUCUAUGCUUAUCAGCUGCCUUCUUCAUCAUAUCUUGAGCGCACACCAAAUUCUGUUUGAUGAGAGCCAACACUCUGUCACGUUCACGCAAAGACGUUUCCAAAUCAAAGUUACUCGUACACCCCUCCUCAAAC
rnacentral:lncRNA from 1 species